rnacentral:rRNA from 1 species
UAGUCCACGCCGUAAACGAUGGUUACUAGUUGUUCGGAUUUCGGUCUGAGUGACUAAGCGAAAGUGAUAAGUAACCCACCUGGGGAGUACGUUCGCAAGAAUGAAACUCAAAGGAAUUGACGGGGGCCCACACAAGCGGUGGAGCAUGUGGUUUAAUUCGAUGAUACGCGAGGAACCUUACCAGGGCUUAAAUGUAGAUUGACAGGUUUAGAGAUAGACUUUUCUUCGGACAAUUUACAAGGUGCUGCAUGGUUGUCGUCAGCUCGUGCCGUGAGGUGUCAGGUUAAGUCCUAUAACGAGCGCAAUCCCUAUCGUUAGUUGCCAGCGAGUAAUGUCGGGAACUCUAACGAAACUGCCAGUGCAAACUGUGAGGAAGGUGGGGAUGACGUCAAAUCAUCACGGCCCUUACGUCCUGGGCUACACACGUGCUACAAUGGCCGGUACAGAGAGCAGCCACUUCGCAAGAAGGAGCGAAUCUAUUAAAACCGGUCUCAGUUCGGAUCGGAGU